UAGAUCAGGUCUUAUUUCAAUAAAUUUAUGAAUUUUAAAUUUGUUAUCUUCUUAAAUCUUGAAUGAAUCUCUUUAACCACAAUUUUCUUUCAAACUAAAGACUUUUCAAGCCCAAAUACCGGCGAAAAUGGUGAAAUUCUUACUCAGAAACUGUCCGUUACGGUUGUUUUCCGGCUGCGGAACGUAGAAUCGCGCCUUGAACAGUUUCGAGUCGGAUUUCUUGGAGAUGAGGUCGAGAAACUCCAUCUUUUUGUGUUUAGGCCUCCUGAGUUGUGUCUGUGCCUUGCCUGUGAAGCCUGUUGUGUCGCCUGAGUCGGUGAGAGUUUUUGUUGAUUCACGUCAUGUGUAGCAACAUGUGAUAAUUUUACAAAGCUCAUUUUAACUUACAACAAACGACAGGCGACCUCUA